UACGUAGGGUGCGAGCGUUAAUCGGAAUUACUGGGCGUAAAGCGUGCGCAGGCGGUUCGUUGUGUCGGCGGUGAAAGCCCCGGGCUCAACCUGGGAAUGGCCGUUGAAACUGGCGAACUGGAGUGUGGCAGAGGGGGGUGGAAUUCCGCGUGUAGCAGUGAAAUGCGUAGAGAUGCGGAGGAACACCGAUGGCGAAGGCAGCCCCCUGGGCUGACACUGACGCUCAGGCACGAAAGCGUGGGGAGCAA
rnacentral:rRNA from 1 species